GUUCAAUUUACCUACCAAUCUCCUGCACUUUACUAGAUAUUCAAAGUUCAAACAACUCACCAUCAUCUUCUACAAGUUGCAAAUUUAGGGUCAUUGGUGCAGUACAAGGUUUAGCACCUAAUUUAUUUGUUUUUUCCAAUACAUCAAGGACAUACUUUUUGUUGAGUCAAGAAGAUUUCUUUCUUACUUCUCAUAACUUCAA
rnacentral:misc_RNA from 1 species